ensembl:lncRNA
GUGAAAAAAGUGACAUUUUAUGUCUAGAAAGUCAGUUUUCAUCAAAAGUGCAAUAACAAAACUUGUUCCCAUUCAUCCUGUGUCUCCAUGCACACUUGUGCUCUUUAUCCGCUCAAAACGCUAUACAGCGAACGAGAAGGCGCUAGGAGCAAAGGAAAGUGGUUUUUCUAACAAACUCAUAUAAUCAGUUGCCCGACCUACUCCAAUUUGAUUUUUUUCACAUAGUUAGACAUAAUAUAGUACUAUGAAAUGUUUCUGACCCAAAAUAUUACGAAAUAUGAUUGUUUACCUUAAAAUGCAAAAGUUGAUGAAAAAGUAUGAUAAGGUGAAAAAAGUGACAUUUUAUGUCUAGAAAGUCAGUUUUCAUCAAAAGUACAAUAACAAAACUAAUUCCCAUUCAUCCAGUGUCCCCAUACACACUUGUGCUCUUUAUCCGCUCAAAACGCUAUACAGCGAACGAGAAGGCGCUAGGAGCAAAGGAAAGUGGUUUUUCUAACAAACUCAUAUAAUCAGUUGCCCGACCUACUCCAAUUUGAUUCUUUUCACAUAUUUAGACAUAAUAUAGUACUAUGAAAUGUUUCUGACCCAAAAUAUUACGAAAUAUGAUUGUUUACCUUAAAAUGCAAAAGUUGAUGAAAAAGUAUGAUAAGGUGAAAAAAGUGACAUUUUAUGUCUAGAAAGUCAGUUUUCAUCAAAAGUACAAUAACAAAACUAAUUCCCAUUCAUCCGUGUCCCGAUACACACUUGUACUCUUCAUCCGCUCAAAACGCUAUACAGCGAACGAGAAGGCGCUAGGAGCAAAGGAAAGUGGUUUUUCUAACAAACUCAUAUAAUCAGUUGCCCGACCUACUCCAAUUUGAUUCUUUUCACAUAUUUAGACAUAAUAUAGUACUAUGAAAUGUUUCUGACCCAAAAUAUUAUGAAAUAUGAUUGUUUACCUUAAAAUGCAAAAGUUGAUGAAAAAGUAUGAUAAGGUGAAAAAAGUGACAUUUUAUGUCUAGAAAGUCAGUUAUCAUCAAAAGUGCAAUAACAAAACUUGUUCCCAUUCAUCCAGUGUCUCCUUACACACUUGUGCUCUUUAUCCGCUCAAAACGCUAUAGAGCGAACGAGAAGGCGCUAGGAGCAAAGGAAAGUGGUUUUUCUAACAAACUCAUAUAAUCAGUUGCCCGACCUACUCCAAUUUGAUUUUUUUC